rnacentral:lncRNA from 1 species
AAUUGACUCUCCGAGCCACAAGAGAAUCUCGAACAAUGAAGAGGUCGUCAGGAACUGAGGGAAGAAUGCUCCGAACUGCAAAAACAACACAGAAACAAUCAGUUUAGUAAGGAAAAAUUAUACCAUAACAGUUCCGAGCCGAGGCAAAGCUUCGGAUCGGCGACCAAGUGGUCCCCAAGCGGUCUUGGUUUUUUGAACGAAAUCCUCGCUAACUGACGCCUCGUUCACCAAGACAUAAAAAAACGCUCGGUCCAAAUUUGAUCUUUGCUUGGAAAACCACCUAUGAUCCGGCGAUUGGGUUUGUUGGAGAUAUAAAAUCUGUCUCCCUUCGGAGCCUUUCUGAUCUCCAACAAGUUUAGCAGAUGAUCUAGCUCAAUGUCGAGCCCGCAUUCAAAACCUCGAACCAGGAUGCCGAUCAUGUGCCGCAAACCCCUCGGCAUAAUCUGCCCGAUCCAGAGGUACUCGAGGAUAACUCCGGGGAUCAGGAAUUCGUACAGAGCUCGUAGGACGCCUCAUACAGAGUAAAGUGAUUUUCAGGAGAUUUGUCAGCUCGGUCGUUCUUUUCUGGAAGGACGAAUUCCACCGCCUCGGAUAUCCCGAAACGGCAUCUCAACGCCUCGAGUGAGUCAGGGGAGGAGAGCGUGGAACCAGGAUGGUCAGGUCUUUGUCUUUUUACUCGUUUUUGUUUCCCUUGCCCAGACGAAGAAGCACCUCGGGAUGCCAUGAGACGUUCUAAUUCAAGCCUCGCCUCGACCGGAUCAAAGGGAAACGCUUCCUCCUCAGCUUUUACUGCGGCAUAAUCAACUUCUUCAUUAUAGGCAGGACCCUGGGGGCAGUUCGUCGAAACCGACGGCUCGUUAUUUGGAGAGCGAGCACCUGAUGGGUUUGAGCGAUUCGACGCCUCGUCACCUUCAGAUGAACGGUUGGAAGGGCUCGGCGAGACAGAUGCCUCGGAGGAUCCUGUUACGCCUCUCGCCUCGGCAUCUACACGGCCUGGCUCGUAGUUAAAAAACGAAUCCAACAAAUCGUCGGAAUGGUUCGACAUGAUUUACAGUUUGUACGAGAAUUACAAUACUACGCGGCGAGCUUUCGUCGGAAAAAGAUUUGGAGCGGCGGAGACCUCGGAACCCUAGCCGGAAAAUAAAUAAACUAGAGAGAGAAAGAAGAGAGAAGGGAGAGCUACCUUUAGUGAAAUCGAAGAUCUGAAAUUAUGAGAAAGAAAGAAGGGGAUCCACCUUCUUAUAGGACAAGCCGAGGCGCGUGAGUUCCGCGGGGACCUCGAGAAGCCGUCCAACAGCGCGUGGGAUCCGCGGCAUAUUAACUAGCUCUGGCUGCGUCGGUUACACGCGCCAAUAAUUUGAGAACCUUCUUUCGGAAGACCAACGGUCGGGAUGUCUGAGUCUUCAGCUGAUAUCUCGGCACAGUUGUUACAAAAACGCCUUGUCGUUACCUUGAAACACGGCUCGGCAUAUUUUUCACAAAAACGCCUCGUCGUUACCUUGAAACAUGGCUCGGCAUAUUUUUCACAAAAAACGCCUCGUCGUUAUCUUGAAACACGGAUCGGCAUAUUUUUCUCAAAAAACGCCUCGUCGUUACCUUGAAACACGGCUCGGCAUAUUUUUCACAAAAACGCCUCGUCAUUACCUUGAAACACGGCUCGGCAUAUCCUUCCCGAAAACACCUCGUCGUUUAUUCGGCUCGGCAUAGCCUACACGAAACGCCUCGACGUUCAUGCUUCGACAUCUUUUCAAAAAUACCUCGUCGUUAACGAGGCGGCUCAGCAUUAUCCUUUGCCUCGAUCGCUGUCUUUACCAAACUAAUCUCAUCUUUUGAACGGCUUGGCAUUUUCCUUCAUACAACCUCGCCAAAAACGGCUCGCUACUACACUUCAUCGAAGAACGGCUCAGCAUCUUUAUUUCCAAAACGCCUCACCUAUUGUUUCGCAACGGCCUGACUUGAUGGUUUAUCCCAUGGCCAGGAGCAAUGAACCUCGUCACUCUCGUCUCCAAAACUGACGAGCUGGGGGGCUAACUGUUGGGGUCGGUUUCCACCCCAAGCGGUUAAACAUCUCGAGAAUGACCAAGUAUCAGAGAAAAAGCGGUUGGCAAGAGAAAUCAGUAAUUCGUCAGAUAUGGGCCGAGCUCUCACAUGAGAAAGGUGGGCCGAGCCGUGCUCAACAUUACAAAUGGGCCGAGCCGUGAAGAGGGGCAAGUAGGCCGAGCCGUGGGAAGGACGUUUUAUGGGCCGAGCUGUGCAAGAGAGCGAAUGGGCCGAGCUGUGCAAGAGAGAGAAUGGGCCGAGCCACUUCGCAAUUGGGCCGAGCUGGUUCUUCUUGGAUGGGCUGAAACGAAGUCAUGAAGGACGUAAGCCCAUAAAAAACCCUAGGCGAAGUGCUGUGACGGUGGCCGCAUAAAACGAUAAGGAAAUAUUCCGGAAAUCUCUCCCGAGAUUCCCGGCUAGGCGGUUUAGAGAGUUAGUAUAAAUAGACGAUGUAUGCCGCUCAUUAUAAAACUUGACACAACUCGAGAGCAAUAAGACCUAAACACUUUUCAGCAAAAACCAUCUUUUAAUCUUACUGUUCUUGCGAUAACCCUAGAAAUUUCGGAUCCCUUAAGAUUUCCUUAACAAAUUUUUGGUUGUGCAAGUUUUAACUCACACAAGGUGUUAAAUAUAUAUAUUUAAUGAAAGGAAAGGAAACAAAAAGCCUAAUGAGUCCUAGAUUGUCGAAAUUUUUUUGAGCAAAAAGGCAACCACUAUUCAUCUAAGGAGCUAUGGUUUUGAAAGAUUAACAAAAAUCUAAGUCUGGGAGAGUUAGGAGAGAACCUGAGGAAGAAGACCAGAAAUCUAUGGCAAGAAGAAAGUGACUGAAAACUGUGGAUAUCAACAGUUUUGCUCUCUCUUGCGGUUUUGCAUAAUAUCUUGCAUCCUCUAGAUCUUUAGGUAACCCAUAAACACUUUAAGCCUUACCUCUAGAAUAACCCUUUUGAUACCUAGCCUAGAUUACCUCGCUUAUACUUUCUUUGAUGAGAACCACCAAAAUUUUUAAUGACUGUUAAGAGCUGGUAGACUGGAAGUUAGAUCUCAGUGCAAUAUAUUUCCGCAUGACGGAUUUACGGACUAGUUAUGCCCGUAUUUUUAGUGAGAAUUUUCUAGGCUAUUCCCAACUAAUGCAUAAUGAUUGAUAUUGGUCUAGAAGCUUUGUCUCUGAGAUUUUGUUAGUUCCUGCGUUUUCAAACCUCUCACCGAGAUUUGGGGAGUUGAUAACACCGGAUUUUGACUAUUUUUAUGGAUCACUUUGAUAUCUUUUGCAGGUUUUUUUACUCUAUUUUCAAAGGUUUUCAAAGGAUUUCUAUGUUUUCAGAUUUUAAAAGACUUUUCAGGUAAUUUGGGAUAAAAAGGCGCAAAUUGGAAUAAAAAGACUCUUUUGGAUAAAUGCAGAUCGUCAGAACUCUCAUGGAGAGACGAAGACCUUCUCACCGUCUGAUCACCUUCAAAAUUAGGUAACUUAUAGAAGACUCAACCAGCUUUCAAAUGCACUUGGUUUGGAUACAUUCCAAUGGUUGGAUCUCAAUAUAUUCCAUUUUUCCCGGAGACACUCGAAGACGGCCAGCAAGUCACGCGACCGCGGCCAACGACCCAUCCACCGCGGCCAGGACCACGCAACCACGGCCAAGCCUUCAUCUACCACAGUCGCAACACACGCGACCGCGGCCAGGCAUCUCCGACCUAAAAAACCCAUUUCUGAAGCCCAAGUUAUUUCCCAGUCUCAAUUCCGGAACCCUAGAGACCAUGGAGUAUUGAGACUAUAAAUACUUGUCAUUUAGGUCGUUUUUAGACAUCAUUUUCAUACUUUUACAGAAAAACCCUUUUUCUUCAACCGUUUUAUGCGAUAUUUAGAAAAGAUUGUUUAACUCUGAGUUCAUCAAUAGAGAAGCUUUCGUUCAUCUCUUUACUUUUUGUUUUUGAUUGAUUUUAUUAAAACCAAUGAUGAUGUCGAGCUCAGCCAUGUCUGAGUAGAUCCCGAGUUAGGCUUAGGGUUCCCAAAAGGGGCUCUCAUAAUCGAUUAAGACAUCUAGGUUUAUAGAUCUGGGAUUUUAACUAUGUUCUCUGUUUAUCCUCAUCCUUAAUGCAUGUAUUUUUGAUUGAUCACCUCGUAUGUGAUCUAGAUAGUUAGUGUUGCGAAAGUAUUCAUUAAGUAUCCGACCUAGAAUGAAAUAGGCAAUUUUUCCAUAAGAGUGGAAACCUACCUGCGGCAAAAUCGUGAGUACUGACGAGUCCUGUACAGCUCUUAUGUUCUCUCCCUUCCAGGGCCAGAGUGGAAACCUACUGGUCAGGGUUGCGAGAAACAGUUGGUUAUGAUCACGACGGUGACAUAGUCAUACCGCCGAACUCUAGCUCUAUAACCCUAUAUUUUGAUAUCCGUCAAUCCCAAUCUAUAAUCCCUAGUGUUGAAACCGAUUAUGAUCCCUGAAGAGUUCCCGAAAGCUCAGCGUUUUUAGCCAUAGUUUACAAACCGAUUGAUUUUUACUUGUUCUUUUAGAUCUGCAUUUUAUUUGCUUUAGUUCAAUAUUUUGCUUGUUUCAUUUGCUUUCAUUCGAUUUUCUACUUGCUUUUUAGGAUAGCUUUAUUUGCUUUCUUUAGUUUUAGUUUAAUCCGUGACAAACAACCAACCCCUAAAACAUAUCUAGUCUAGACAUAAAGUUAGAAAUCGUAGGAGAAUACCACACACACAAAUCUCUGUGGAUUCGAUCCCUAAGUACUACAAUUGAUUAGCUGUGCACUUACGGCUUUCAUUUGUUUUUAUUAAGGGUAAAACUUGUUCCCUCACGCAGUAGACACAUCAAUAUUCUGAUUCUGAAUCUUGGGGAUCACGUGCUGUGAAAACUCAAAGACUGUAAAUCAGCUGCAUCGAUCUGGUCAGGUCUUGAAAGGUUAUACAAUUCUAGUUCUCAACCUAAUCAGAUUCAUCUACAGCACGAUUUCUACACCUUCAAGAUGGAUGAAUCUAAGUUUAUGGAUAAGAAUAUAGACGAUUUCUUGAAGAUGUUUUCUGCUUUGAAUAGUGUUGAUGUUUCGGUCUCUGAAGAAGUUCAAGCUAUUCUAAUGUUGAAUUCUUUGCCUCUGCAGUACAAUAGUUUAAAUGAAACACUAAAGUACGGUAAAGAAAUUCUUUCUCUGGAAAACAUUUGUGAUUGUGCAAAGUCAAAGGAGAAGGAACUGAGAGAAGCAAAGCAACUCAAUGUUUCUCAGAAGAGCGGUGAAGCGUACACUGCUUGAGGAAGAUCCGAGAAGAGAGAGUCACAUGGUGGUAAAGGAAAGAAUAGAUCAAGGUCUCAGUCUGGUUUAAAGGUCACAUACUGGAACUGUAGAUUCCCUUCUUUCUUACAGGUCUAAGUCUGGUUCAAAUCAAUCUUUCUUUACAUGCCCUUCUUUCUUUCUUUCUUCACAGAUAUCUCGGGUGGUCAAGUUCUUCUUGCUGAUGAUAGAGCUGUCACGGUUCAAGGAGUUGGUUCCAUCAAGAUCAAGGCAACCGGAGGAUUAGUCACGCAGCUGAAAAACGUCUGAUAUGUUCCUAAUCUUAAAAGAAAUCUAAUUUCUGUUUCUACUCUUGAUUUGCAGGGUUUCACACAUGAAGGUGGUGAUGGGAAGACAAAGUUCUUCAAAAAUGGUAAAGUUGCACUGCAGGGCACCCUUACCGGAAGCUUAACGCAGGAGUCUAUACUGCUAUGUCUAAAGAUGAGACUGUGUUAUGGCAUAGCAGAUUAGGCCACAUGAAUAUGAAGAAUCUGAAGAUUUUGGUUGAGAAGGGUGUUCUUAACAAGAAGAGAAUCGGGAACAUGGAGUUCUGUGAAAUCUGCGUGGUGGGGAAGAAUAAGAAGCUGAGUUUCAGCAUUGGGAAGUACAGAGGAGGUUCUCAAAUACGUUCAUGCGGACUUAUGGGGUUCUCCUAAUGUCCAUUUUUUUUUCUCAAUGAAGCAGUAUAGAUGACUACUCUUGGAAGAUGCACCAGAGAAUCACAAGGUGAUAGGCUGUAAGUGGGUUUAUAAACUCAAGCCUGGGAUUCCUAGUGUUGAGGCUCCCAGAUAUAAGGCAAGGUUAGUUGCCAAAGGCUAUGCUCAGAGAGAGGGUAUACAUUAUCAAGAAAUCUUCUCACCGGAGGUUAAGCAUGUCUCGAUUUUUAUGAUGUUAUCAAGGACAAUGAAUGAGGAUCUAUAAUUGGAGCAGCUAGAUGCAAACACGGUGUUUCUACAUGGAAAUAUUGAAGAGGAUAUUUACAUGGAUCAACCGGAGGGAUAUGAGGUCAAAGGUCAGAAGGAAAAGGUUUGUCAUCUUCGUAAGUCUCUGUUAUGGCUUGAAACAAGCCUUGAGGUAGUGGAAUAGGUGCUUUGGUCAGUUCAUGUUGAAGCAUGGAUUUGUUAAGAGUAAAUUUGAUAUGUGCGUUUAUCUGAAGAAACUUGGAGGCAAGGUAUGUGUCUAUCUCCUUCAAUACGUAGAUGACAUGUUGAUAGCCUCUAAAGAGAUGUAUGAGAUCAUUAAGGUGAAGAAAUUUCUGAGUAGUGAGUUUGAUAUAAAAUAUUUAGAUCCUGCAAAACAAAAUCUUAGGUAUGGAUAUAGAGAGAGAUAGAAUAGGUGGAGUACUUACACUUUCUCAGUCUGGUUACAUAAAGAAGAUUCUACAAGUUUUCAGGAUGGAUGAAUCAAAGUCUGUAUCAACUCCUAUAGGAGAACAUUUCAAGCGUGCCUCAUUAGGAAAUGGAGAGGAUGAUGAAGUGAGAAGUGAAUUUCCUUAUUCAAGUGUUGUUGGCAGCAUUAUGUAUGCAAUGGGCACCAGGCCAGAUCUUGCUUAUGUUGUUGGUCUGGUAAGCAGGUUUAUGAGUAAUCCAGGAAAAGUUCAUUGGACGGCUGUACAGUGGAUUCUCAGGUAUUUUAAAAGGACUCAGGACAGAGGUUUAGUUUUCAGGAAGACUUCAGGGGAUUUCAAAGUUGAGGUUAUAGUGAUUCAGAUUUUGUUGGAGAUUUGGAUUGAAGAAGGUCGAUUUCAGGUUAUGUGUUUACUGCAGGUGGUAAUACGAUCAGCUGGAGAUCGGGAUUACAACAGGUUGUAGCAUUGUCGACUACAGAGGCUGAAUAUGUGGCCUUAACGGAGGCAGUUAAGGAGGGUAUUUGGCUGAAAGGCUUAGCAGAUUAAAUGGGUUUCAAGCAGCAGGUUGUGGCUGUGAAUUGUGAUCACAAAGUGUUAUCUGUCUAGCGAAGAAUAAUGUCUAUCACAAAAGAACAAAACACAUGGUAGUGAAAAUGAUAUAGUUGACUUGGAGAAAUAAGUGUUCAGAAGAUUCAUACUUCGAAGAAUCAUGCUGAUAUACUUACCAAGGUGAUUCUUGUUCAGAAGUUUGAGGCUACGCUUAAUGGCUUGAGGAGAUAGACUCGGAAAUGUUUGUGUCAAGGUGGAGUUUGUUGAAAUGUGACACAGUCACUUAUAUUAGUCAAAACCAGUUUUAGUUUAUGAUUUGGUACAAGCUCUAACUAGGUGAUCAUAGUAAUUUGAUUAGAACCGGUUACUGUCAUGUGUAUCAGCUUGGUUCAAUCUCUGAACCAAGGAGCUAAAUGAGUCUAUGUGUAUAAGUGAGCUGAGAGAUGAUUCUGCAGAGUUGUUGGGAAUCAUUCUUCUUCUUGCUCUGGAUCUGGUACGUUUUUGAUCUAGUGGAAUUCUUGCUAGCUUGAGAAAACAAGCCCCAGAGACGUAGCUUCGGCGAACCCUGGGUUAACAAAUCGUGUUUGUCUUUUACUUUCUUUCUAUCUUGCUUAAUCUCAUGAUUGUUCUUAUUGGAGUUCAUAGACGAAUGAGAUUAGUGAGGAAUUGAGCAGAGGGAUAGGGUUCGAUUCUUGGUUUCUAUCGCAACAUUGAUGAUUCUGAUAAAUCAGUUUCAUAAUUUGUACUUCUUUGGCUACUACAGUCAAAUACCUGUUUAUCAUGUUCUUCCAUUGAUUCUGCAAGUAAUAUUUAAGUUCAAUGAUCAUAUUUAUAUUCAGGUUUUAGUAUAAUCAUGAUUUAAUAAUUUACCUUCUGUUUUAUAGUCAUAAUUUCAGUAACUUCCUUCUUUUUGUGAUUGUAGCACCUCUUAAUGUUCAUUGACAAAUGCAGCUUGCUCUGAUCUAGAAUUUCGAGUAGGUCUUGCUGAACUUGAUGGUAAGUUUGUAAUGUCAUUAAGUACAUUGUUAGAUUGCCUUCUGAAAUCUCUAAAACCAUUUAUCUGUGUAGUGGUCAAUCCUUUAAAGCUGUUCUGUUUUGCUAUAUAAGAAAAACAUGUGAUUAAUUUUGAUUUGAAGUUUUCAUUCAGCAUUUAAAUGUGUUAGAAAAAAAGUUAUAAUUAUUUCAACAACUUACAUGAAUCUUGUUCACUCUUACGAUUCUUUUUAGGAGCUUUAUGUUGGGAUUUAUGAGACAAAGGCAUUCACUUGAUGAAUGAAACCACUUAACCCACAUUAAGAACUCGAUCUCAAUAGUGAGGAACCAAUCAACUUGUGAUGGAGAGAAUCGAUCUUAACAAGGGAAAAAUACUCUAGUUAAGUAACACAACACUUAGAGUUUGUGUACUUAGAGAAAGAAAAAUUUUGAAUCAGUAAGCUAGAGAUUAAGGAGAGAAUAAAGAAGAGUUUAUGUGAUUUUUACAAGUAUUAGGCUGCCUUAAUGCAUCCUCUAAACCGUGGCUCACUAAACUCACUACAUUAUGAUUAUUGAUUAAGCAUAAGAAGAAGAGAAAGAGCAACACGAAAUGAAGAG